AACGAACGCUGGCGGCGCGCUUAACACAUGCAAGUCGAACGAGGUCCCCGUUUCGGAUGGACGACCUAGUGGCGCACGGGUGAGUAACGCGUGGGAACCUGCCCUUGGCUACGGGACAACCGCGGGAAACUGCGGCUAAUACCGUAUAAUGCAGCUCUGUAUGGAGUUGCCAAAGAUUUAUCGGCGAAGGAGGGGCCCGCGUUAGAUUAGCUUGUUGGUGGGGUAACGGCCUACCAAGGCUCUGAUCUAUAGCUGGUCUGAGAGGACGAUCAGCCACACUGGGACUGAGGCACGGCCCAGACUCCUACGGGAGGCAGCAGUGGGGAAUCUUGGACAAUGGGGGAAACCCUGAUCCAGCGACGCCGCGUGGGUGAAGAAGGCCUUAGGGUUGUAAACCCCUUUCACCGGGGAGGAUGAUGACGUUACCCGGAGAAGAAGCACCGGCUAAC
rnacentral:rRNA from 1 species